AGUAACACGUGGGGAACCUGCCCCAUAGUCUGGGAUACCACUUGGAAACAGGUGCUAAUACCGGAUAAGAAAGCGGAUCGCAUGGUCAGCUUUUAAAAGGCGGCGUAAGCUGUCGCUAUGGGAUGGCCCCGCGGUGCAUUAGCUAGUUGGUAAGGUAAAGGCUUACCAAGGCGAUGAUGCAUAGCCGAGUUGAGAGACUGAUCGGCCACAUUGGGACUGAGACACGGCCCAAACUCCUACGGGAGGCAGCAGUC
rnacentral:rRNA from 1 species